UACAGAGGUCUCAAGCGUUUGUUCGGAUUCAUUGGGCGUAAAGGGUGCGUAGGCGGCGAAGCAAGUCUGAUGUGAAAUCCCGGGCUCAACCCCGGAACUGCAUUGGAUACUGCUUUGCUAGAGUACUGGAGAGGAGACUGGAAUUUACGGUGUAGCAGUGAAAUGCGUAGAUAUCGUAAGGAAGACCAGUGGCGAAGGCGAGUCUCUGGACAGUUACUGACGCUGAGGCACGAAGGCCAGGGGAGCAAACGGG
rnacentral:rRNA from 1 species